ACGACUGUGCUUUGUUAAGCAUAUUAGCAAGCCCCAGAAUCGAACUAGCCGUCCCUUCUAAGGAUGUGGUCGAAGGUUCGAAUCCUUCAGGGCGUGCCA
rnacentral:tRNA from 1 species